AAGUCGCAGUUGAAGUCGUGCCGGCCGGAGGAUUGGUAGUAGGCGUUCAUGGCGAAGGCCGCGUGGGAGCGCAGAGUGUUGGGCAUGAAGCACGCCCCGCCCUGCUGAAUCGGCCGGCAGUCCACCCCGCUGCUGCAGACGUAGUCUAUGUUCGCCUGCAGCGCCGCCUCGCUGGCCCCGCUCCUGGGCAGGCACCACCUUCUCCCCCCCGCCGCCGCCGCCGGCGCCUGCAGGAGAAGAGAUCAGGCAGGAGAAAGAAAGAGGAGGGGGGAGACCGAAGGGCGGUCAGUCGUAAGAAACAGGCGCGGCCACCGCCGACGGGGAAAGGCGGUGGCACUACAGACGGCCGACGUGACUCCACAGUCAGCCGCACCCCGUCUUUAUCGGGCGAGUGGGAGCGACAGCGGCGGCGCAAUAGGCGCGCACCCACCACCACUACCGCCCCUCCCGGGCCGCAACGGUCCCCUCGCCGGUGCAAUUUCUUUAAUAAAUGACGGUGAUGAAACCGGGCAUUAAAGUGGACGACGAGGAGAGGGGAGGAGAAGCGGCGUACCCUGGUCCGCGCGAGGCCGACGUCGUAGACAGGCGUCAGGUCCGCCCUGAAGAGGCCGAAGUUGCGCUCCGCCGUGGGGCCGGGCUUCUGGUUCUCGUUGAACAGGGAGAAGAUGUAGGUCUCGAAUCUCCUCCCCGGCAUCAGCGGCGUCCCCCUCCCGGAGUUCACCUCCCGGAUCAGGUUCCCGUUGUAGGAGGCGGCGUUCUCCACAGACAACUCCGGCUGGCCGGCGUCGCCGGCGGAGGGCCACCCGGUCUCCCCCACCGCGAUCUCGACGUCGCCGUAGCCCAGCCGCUUCAUCGCCGAGUGCACGGCGUCCAUCUGCGCCACGAACAUGUUCGUGUAGUUGAUCCCGGUGGCGGCGUCGAAGAUCCCGCCAUUGGGCUUGAAGAUGGCGUAGUUCAGCGUCCUCGCUGUGUAGCCGAAGUACGGGUAAGGGUUCACCAUGAACGGGGUCUUCGUCUGGCGGUGGAACUGCAGCAUUGGUGCGAAUAUCGCGCGGUCGUAGCCCCUGCGGAAGCGGCCGGUGGAAGGGGGCUCGGAGGCGGAGAGGAUGCCCAGCGAGUGCGGGGUCGUCACCCUGAUCUUCCCCAUGCCCGCCUGAGCUAGCGCGGCGGUGAGGGACCGCAUCGCCGGCAGGAGAUGGGCGAUGAGGUUCUUGUCUGAGGUGGCCAGCACCUCGUUCCCGACGGCCAGCAGGGAGAUGUUGGUGGCGGGGUAGAAGGGCGCGAUGUGGGCGGCGACCCAGUCGCGCGCCGCCGGCAGCUUCGCGACCCCCGGGAUGUCGCCGUUAGGGACGGUGACCACCAUGGACACGCCGGUGCCGGCGAAGGCGCGGAUGAACUCGGGGUUGGCGUCGAAGAGCUUCACGCGGUCGAUGAAGGUGUUCUCCUUGAGGAACGCCGCCACCUGCGCCGGCGGCGGGAGGUUGUCGGCGAGGGCGCCGUAGUUGACUCCGAUUGAGAGAGAGAAAGCAACCUGGAACGAGCAGAGAAGGACGACGACGGCGGCGGCGGCGAUGAGCGCCGCCGGCACGGGAGCUUUCACCAUGUUUUGGAUGGGAUGGGAAGAAGCAGAAGAAGAAGAAGACGC
rnacentral:lncRNA from 1 species